AGCAUCACCUUGAUGCCUCCAAUAUGAAGUACCCAAAUGUUGAAGAACUCAGGAAUUUGGAUUUAACAAAAAGGAAGAUGAUUCAUGAAGGACCAUUGGUUUGGAAGGUGAAUAGAGACAAAAGUAUUGAUCUGUACACAUUGCUGCUGGAGGACAUUCUUGUUUUGUUACAAAAACAGGAUGAUAGGCUGGUGUUAAGGUGUCAUAGUAAGAUUCUGGCAUCUUCAGCUGAUAGCAAACACACAUUUAGCCUGUCAUUAAGUUGAAUACAGUGUUGGUUUGAAAAGUGGCAACAGACAACAAAGCUUUAUUCAUCAUCUCCAUGUCAGACAAUGGAGCCCAAAUUUAUGAAUUGGUGGCACAGACAGUCUCUGAAAAGACUGUCUGGCAGGACCUAAUCUGCAGAAUGGCUGCCUCAAUGAAGGAACAAUCCACAAAGCCAAUUCCAUUACAGUCACCAGCUUUUGAAGGAGACAAUGAUGAAGAAGAACCACCAAAAUUAAAAGUAGAACAGCAUGGCAUUUCAGUCACUGGUCUACAAAGUCCAGAUAGAGAUUUGGGAUUAGAGUCUCCCUUACUAUCAUCAAAACCUCAGUCUCAUUCACUGAGUAUCUGGGAAAUCAGAGGCAGAUGAUC
rnacentral:lncRNA from 1 species